rnacentral:rRNA from 1 species
GGAAGUAAAAGUCGUAACAAGGUUUCCGUAGGUGAACCUGCGGAAGGAUCAUUCCUGAUUUGGCGGACCGAGCGUCAGCGAGGUCUCGCGAUCACUUGUAUUUAAAACCCACACUUUGAAUGUAAUAUGUAUAUUUUUGUAUUUUUUAAUAAUAAAAGAUCACUUUCAACAACGGAUCUCUUGGCUCUCGCAUCGAUGAAGAACGUAGCGAAGUGCGAUAAGUAAUGUGAAUUGCAGAAUUCCGUGAAUCAUCGAAUCUUUGAACGCAAAUUGCACUCUCUGGUAUUCCGGAGAGUAUGCCUGUUUGAGGGUCAGUUAAAUAAAAAUCGGUGUUGUUGCCGCUUUUCGUGGUGACGCGUCGGAAUUGGGUUGUCUUACCUUCGGUUAAGUGACUUAAAAUUUUGUAUGAUUUUCGAACGUAUUUAAAUUUAUUUGAACGUUUGAUAUCGAAUGCUUAUUAGGUUCGGUCAUCCUCAUGACUCGCGCCUACAAUUUUUCAUUAAAUGACCUCAAAUCAGGUAAGAAUACCCGCUGAACUUAAGCAUAUCAAUAAGCGGAGGA